GGGGACAAACAGUUGGAAACGACUGCUAAUACCGCAUAAGCCCACGGGUCGGCAUCGACCAGAGGGAAAAGGAGCAAUCCGCUUUGAGAUGGCCUCGCGUCCGAUUAGCUAGUUGGUGAGGUAACGGCCCACCAAGGCAACGAUCGGUAGCCGGACUGAGAGGUUGAACGGCCACAUUGGGACUGAGACACGGCCCAGACUCCUACGGGAGGCGGCAGUGGGGAAUAUUGCACAAUGGGGGAAACCCUGAUGCAGCGACGCCGCGUGGAGGAAGAAGGUCUUCGGAUUGUAAACUCCUGCUGUUGGGGAAGAUAAUGACGGUACCCAACAAGGAAGUGACGGCUAACUACGUGCCAGCAGCCGCGGUAAAAUGUAGGUCNCCGGCGUUGUCCGGNUUUNCUGGGUGUAAAGGGCGCGCCGGCGGGAAAGAAAGUUGGAAGUGAAAUUUAUGGGGUUGAAGUAUAAAGUGUUUUUAAAAUUGUUUUUCUUGAGUAGUGGAGAGGUAGGGGGAAUUCUGGGGGUAGGGGUGGNNUGCGUNGNUGUCGGGNGGNNCNCCCGUGGCGNNGGCGGCCUCCUGGGCGCCGCUGNNCGCUGCGGCUCGNNAGUGUGGGUGGCCCCCAGAAUUNGCUNCCCUGGUAGUCCNCNCCGUGGNCGAUCCCUUAAAGGUGUUGGAGGAUUGUCCCCUUCAGUGCCGCAGUUAACACAAUAAGUAAUCCACCUGGGGAGUACGACCGCAAGGUUGAAACUCAAAGGAAUUGACGGGGGCCCGCACAAGCAGUGGAGUAUGUGGUUUAAUUCGACGCAACGCGAAGAACCUUACCAAGUCUUGACAUCCCUUGACAGACAUAGAAAUAUGUAAUCUCUUCGGAGCAAGGAGACAGGUGGUGCAUGGUUGUCGUCAGCUCGUGUCGUGAGAUGUUGGGUUAAGUCCCGCAACGAGCGCAACCCUUAUGGUCAGUUACUACGCAAGAGGACUCUGGCCAGACUGCCGUUGACAAAACGGAGGAAGGUGGGGAUGACGUCAAAUCAUCAUGCCCUUUAUGACUUGGGCUACACACGUACUACAAUGGCGUUAAACAAAGAGAAGCAAGACCGCGAGGUGGAGCAAAACUCAGAAACAACGUCCCAGUUCGGACUGCAGGCUGCAACUCGCCUGCACGAAGUCGGAAUUGCUAGUAAUCGUGGAUCAGCAUGCCACGGUGAAUACGUUCCCGGGCCUUGUACACACAGGCCGUCA
rnacentral:rRNA from 1 species